CACUGCCGAGAAAAGCCUCUAGAUAGAAAAUAGGUGCCCGUACCGCAAACCGACACAGGUAGUCAAGAUGAGAAUUCUAAGGUGAGCGAGCGAACUCUCGUUAAGGAACUCGGCAAAAUGACCCCGUAACUUCGGGAGAAGGGGUGCUCUUUAGGGUUAACGCCCAGAAGAGCCGCAGUGAAUAGGCCCAAGCGACUGUUUAUCAAAAACACAGGUCUCUGCUAAACCGUAAGGUGAUGUAUAGGGGCUGACGCCUGCCCGGUGCUGGAAGGUUAAGAGGAGUGGUUAGCUUCUGCGAAGCUACGAAUCGAAGCCCCAGUAAACGGCGGCCGUAACUAUAACGGUCCUAAGGUAGCGAAAUUCCUUGUCGGGUAAGUUCCGACCCGCACGAAAGGCGUAACGAUUUGGGCACUGUCUCAACGAGAGACUCGGUGAAAUCAUAGUACCUGUGAAGAUGCAGGUUACCCGCGACAGGACGGAAAGACCCCGUGGAGCUUUACUGUAGCCUGAUAUUGAAAUUCGGCACAGCUUGUACAGGAUAGGUAGGAGCCUUUGAAACGUGAGCGCUAGCUUACGUGGAGGCGCUGGUGGGAUACUACCCUAGCUGUGUUGGCUUUCUAACCCGCACCACUUAUCGUGGUGGGAGACAGUGUCAGGCGGGCAGUUUGACUGGGGCGGUCGCCUCCUAAAAGGUAACGGAGGCGCUCAAAGGUUCCCUCAGAAUGGUUGGAAAUCAUUCAUAGAGUGUAAAGGCAUAAGGGAGCUUGACUGCGAGACCUACAAGUCGAGCAGGGUCGAAAGACGGACUUAGUGAUCCGGUGGUUCCGCAUGGAAGGGCCAUCGCUCAACGGAUAAAAGCUACCCCGGGGAUAACAGGCUUAUCUCCCCCAAGAGUUCACAUCGACGGGGAGGUUUGGCACCUCGAUGUCGGCUCAUC
rnacentral:rRNA from 1 species